GACGAACGCUGGCGGCGUGCUUAACACAUGCAAGUCGAACGGAAAGGCCCUUCGGGGUACUCGAGUGGCGAACGGGUGAGUAACACGUGGGUGAUCUGCCCUGCACUUUGGGAUAAGCCUGGGAAACUGGGUCUAAUACCGGAUAGGACUACGCGAUGCGUGUCGUGUGGUGGAAAGCUUUUGCGGUGUGGGAUGGGCCCGCGGCCUAUCAGCUUGUUGGUGAGGUUACGGCUCACCAAGGCGACGACGGGUAGCCGGCCUGAGAGGGUGACCGGCCACACUGGGACUGAGAUACGGCCCAGACUCCUACGGGAGGCAGCAGUGGGGAAUAUUGCACAAUGGGCGCAAGCCUGAUGCAGCGACGCCGCGUGAGGGAUGACGGCCUUCGGGUUGUAAACCUCUUUCAGCAGGGACGAAGCGCAAGUGACGGUACCUGUAGAAGAAGGACCGGCCAACUACGUGCCAGCAGCCGCGGUAACAC
rnacentral:rRNA from 1 species